AUGCUCACUUUGGCAGCACAUGCGCUAAAAUUAGAACAGUACAGAGAAGACUAGCAUGGUCCCUGCACAAAGAUGACAUGCAAAUUCAUGAAGCAUUCCACAUUAUA
ensembl:snRNA U6 U6 spliceosomal RNA